CGCGUUUCACCAAAGCACCCUGCUGGAACCGCACGGGCGGAGCCUCCGGGUUCAGCUCGUGUGACCGUGUAAGCACGGACACACCAGAGACGCAGAGAAUCAUCACAGGGUCGCAAAUGAGACGUAGAGGGACCUCUUUCUUAAUGUCCAGUGUCUUCGGCCUCAAGAUCCUUGUGACACACGU
rnacentral:snoRNA from 1 species